CCUACGGGAGGCAGCAGUGAGGAAUAUUGGACAAUGGAGGAAACUCUGAUCCAGCCAUGCCGCGUGCAGGAUGAAUGCCCUAUGGGUUUUAAACUGCUUUUAUACAGGAAGAAACAUUUCCACGUGUGGAAACUUGACGGUACUGUAAGAAUAAGGAUCGGCUAACUCCGUGCCAGCAGCCGCGGUAAUACGGAGGAUCCAAGCGUUAUCCGGAAUUAUUGGGUUUAAAGGGUCCGUAGGUGGUUAUUUAAGUCAGAGGUGAAAUCCUGCCGCUUAACGGUAGAACUGCCUUUGAUACUGAUUAACUUGAGUUAUUGUGAAGUAGUUAGAAUAUGUAGUGUAGCGGUGAAAUGCAUAGAUAUUACAUAGAAUACCGAUUGCGAAGGCAGAUUACUAACAAUAUACUGACACUGAGGGACGAAAGCGUGGGUAGCGAACAGGAUUAGAUACCCUGGUAGUCCACGCCGUAAACGAUGGUCACUAGCUGUUUGAUUAACAUUGGUUAAUUAAGUGGCUAAGCGAAAGUGAUAAGUGACCCACCUGGGGAGUACGCUCGCAAGAGUGAAACUCAAAGGAAUUGACGG
rnacentral:rRNA from 1 species